rnacentral:rRNA from 1 species
UACGUAGGUGGCAAGCGUUGUCCGGAAUUACUGGGCGUAAAGCGUGCGCAGGCGGUUCGUUAAGUCAGCUGUGAAAGCCCCGGGCUCAACCUGGGAAUUGCGGUUGAAACUGGCGAACUAGAAUCUGGCAGAGGGGGGUGGAAUUCCACGUGUAGCAGUGAAAUGCGUAGAGAUGUGGAGGAACACCGAUGGCGAAGGCAGCCCCCUGGGCUGAGAUUGACGCUCAGGCACGAAAGCGUAGGGAGCAAACAGG